rnacentral:rRNA from 1 species
ACAGAGGUGGCGAGCGUUGUUCGGAAUCACUGGGCUUAAAGGGUGCGCAGGCGGUCGGAAGGGUGUCUUGUGAAAUCCCUCGGCUUAACCGAGGAAUUGCGGGGCAAACCGUCCGACUUGAGGCAGGUAGGGGUUGAUGGAACUCUGGGUGGAACGGUGAAAUGUGUAGAUAUCCAGGGGAACGCCAAUGGCGAAAGCAAUCAACUGGGCCUGUCCUGACGCUGAGGCACGAAAGCCAGGGGAGCAAACGG